rnacentral:rRNA from 1 species
UACAGAGGUCCCAAGCGUUGUUCGGAUUCACUGGGCGUAAAGGGUGCGUAGGUGGCGGGGUAAGUUUGAUGUGAAAUCUCCGGGCUUAACCCGGAAACUGCAUUGAAUACUAUUCUGCUGGAGGGUUGGAGGGGGGACUGGAAUUCUCGGUGUAGCAGUGAAAUGCGUAGAUAUCGAGAGGAACACCAGUGGCGAAGGCGAGUCCCUGGACAACACCUGACACUGAGGCACGAAAGCUAGGGGAGCAAACAGG